UACGUAGGGUGCGAGCGUUGUCCGGAAUUAUUGGGCGUAAAGAGCUUGUAGGCGGUUUGUCGCGUCUGCCGUGAAAAAUUCGAGGCUCAACCUCGAACUUGCGGUGGGUACGGGCAGACUAGAGUGUGGUAGGGGGAGACUGGAAUUCCCGGUGUAGCGGUGAAAUGCGCAGAUAUCGGGAGGAACACCGGUGGCGAAGGCGGGUCUCUGGGCAGUAACUGACGCUGAGGAGCGAAAGCGUGGGGAGCGAACAGG
rnacentral:rRNA from 1 species